GACAUAUUCACCUGUCUUGUUCUAAAUGUUUAAGUUUAUAUAUUUGGAAGAAAAUUCUUAAAAUUGAGUUCAAACCAGAAGCUAAGUUUAAUUCCAGCCAUGAAAUAAGUUAAAAAGGAUGGGACAGCCGGAUUUAGCGAAAUAUUUUGCGAUCAACUUAGUUACAAAUUUCUAAGGAUUUGCAUUUUACAUGCCGAUGUGGGAUACUAUUUUCAGAAUGAAAAGUGAUGGUAGCGCUUCCUCGUAGCGACUGACAAAAAGAAAACAAAAACCCAAGGAAAAAUUAACUUUCUCAACUUAUUUUCCUGUAGAUUAUGAUGUGAUAAUGCUAAUGCAAUAGCAAACUAAUAACAAACCAAUCUAAAAAUAGUUAAAAGAUUCUAUUAUUGAAUUAAAAUCUUACAAUUAAUUAAA